rnacentral:lncRNA from 1 species
GUGAAAUUUCGCCUUCGAGCGUGAAAGAGUGGCAAGGGAGCAGGUGUGGCUCAUGGGCUGAACGUCCAUGUUCCCGUGCCAAGACGUUCUUUCUCCCCUGCUUCUUUCAGGUGCGAGGAAUCCUCUCCACCCUGCACAGCUGCACAGAGUCCAUGCUGGAGCCCUUGUUCAUGUACUUCGUGCACCAUGCGGUGCUGAUCCUGGCCCGCCAUCACGAGAGGCUCACGGUGAACGUCAUCCUCGAGAAGUUUGUGCCUCUGGACAGAAACACACUGGAGCUGUGGAGGACUCUGGGGAGAGACAGCAUUGGCAUCGGUGUGCUGAAGCGCUUAGCGAGGAAGCUGAGGAGAGUGGGAGACGACAGCUCCCAGCCCAGCUCGUCCAGUGGCAGGCUGCACUCCCACCAGCCUUCUGCGGAGUCCUUGACUGUACGUUCAGAGGCUUUGUGCCUGCUCCCCCACUGACAGUCCGAGGGCAAGGCGUUGGGUGCCCUUUGCAAGCGUCUCUGGACACUGCCAGGACACUGCUGCAGUGUCUCAGCGGUAGCAGUUGGGGCCAGCCGGGACAGCCGCUGCUCCCAGGCUGCAAGGCUGUCCCGGAGACGGGGCGUGCAGGCAGUAGAAGUGCCCCAGGCAGCCAGCGAGCCGGGGCUGGUGGCAAAGCACUUGUUUAACGGGUGCUUGUCGGGUGCUCUCAUUUCCCUGCAGGUCACCCAUGCCAUCUCCGAAAUGGUGUCCGUGCAGUUCAAGGAGGGGGUCCAGAGCUUGCUUCCCUCCCUCCUCCCUGGGCUCCUGCUGCAGCUCAGCAAGGCACUGGGCGAAGAGAUGCUGUUUGCGCCCCUCAGCCCCUGGAGAGGGCAUGCUGAGGAUCAGCGGCAAGAGGGCAACGUGUGCAGGUCAGGAGCAGGAGGGGCAGGGCAAGGGGGGCUUGAAUGGCCUAGCCAAGCAUGCUUGUGUGUUUCCUGUCUUGCUUUGUGGCCGAGCUCUGGCCACGGGCAGCUGUGCUCUCUCCUCCCUGCCAUCGACUGAUCCUGGGGGCCCUGGCUUUUGUCCUUCUGUAAGCGGCUUGGGGCAUUGCCAGGGCUAAAAAAGACGGUUGCUUUUCUGGCCAGCUUUUGCCACAGACUUGGUGGCUACAGAGCGUUGCCUCUGCGCUUCUUUGCCUCUCCCUCCCUCGCUGGAGCUUGGGAGGAGUGAAGAACCGGCUCAUAAAGCUGCUGAGCAUUCUUGCUUUGCUAAGUCUUCUCCUGCAAAACACUGCUCUGAUCUGAGACUGAUCUGGCUCUUGCUCUUUCCCCAGGCCUUUCUGCGAAACUCUAAUGUCAGUGCUGAGCAAAUGUGCUGAGAAGAACUGGCUGACACUGUUCUGGAGGCAGAAAAUGUCGGCGCUGCUGGAGAGCCCCCGCACUUAUGCCGAGGGCAUGUGCCUCCUGACGAGGUGA